GACGAACGCUGGCGGCGUGCUUAACACAUGCAAGUCGAGCGGUAAGGCCCUUUCGGGGGUACGACGAGCGGCGAACGGGUGAGUAACACGUGGGUGACCUGCCCUCAGCUCUGGGAUAAGCCUGGGAAACCGGGUCUAAUACUGGAUAUGACUCCAUGACGCAUGUUGUGGGGUGGAAAGCCUUGUGCGGCUGAGGAUGGGCCCGCGGCCUAUCAGCUUGUUGGUGGGGUGANGGCCUACCAAGGCGACGACGGGUAGCCGGCCUGAGAGGACGACCAGCCACACUGGGACUGAGACACGGCCCAGACUCCUACGGGAGGCAGCAGUGGGGAAUUUUGGACAAUGGGGGCAACCCUGAUCCAGCCAUGCCGCGUGCGGGAAGAAGGCCU
rnacentral:rRNA from 1 species